rnacentral:rRNA from 1 species
AGUGAACGCUGGCGGUAGGCCUAACACAUGCAAGUCGAACGGCAGCACAGUAAGAGCUUGCUCUUACGGGUGGCGAGUGGCGGACGGGUGAGGAAUACAUCGGAAUCUACUUUUUCGUGGGGGAUAACGUAGGGAAACUUACGCUAAUACCGCAUACGACCUACGGGUGAAAGCAGGGGAUCUUCGGACCUUGCGCGAUUGAAUGAGCCGAUGUCGGAUUAGCUAGUUGGCGGGGUAAAGGCCCACCAAGGCGACGAUCCGUAGCUGGUCUGAGAGGAUGAUCAGCCACACUGGAACUAAGACACGGUCCAGACUCCUACGGGAGGCAGCAGUGGGGAAUAUUGGACAAUGGGCGCAAGCCUGAUCCAGCCAUACCGCGUGGGUGAAGAAGGCCAUCGGGUUGUAAAGCCCUUUUGUUGGGAAAGAAAAGCAGCAGGUUAAUACCCCGCUGUUCUGACGGUACCCAAAGAAUAAGCACCGGCUAACUUCGUG